CCCACCCUCCGCCGCGGCGCUGGCCUGGCUGGGGCCGCGAUGGCUGAGCGGGGAACGGGUGCCUCUCGGUGCUGUCCCGCACGUGUCUCUAUCCUCGUCCCUCCCUGAACACGUGUGCUUCAGAUUACUUUUUUUUCUCUUCCUGAAGUUCUCCAAAUCUACCCAAAAUCUAAUAAUUUUAGAAAUUCCAAAAUAAGUGGCAGCGUGCACUUCUCGGGCUUUAACAUCUGUUCCACAGCUGAGAAAAACUUGCUGUAACGCUGAGCUCGGGGGAGCUGGGAGCUGUUGUGCCUGUCCAUCGUGCUCCGUGACGAAGCUGCAGCACUUACUGUGCAACACGUCGUUGUUCCAGAACGCAACGGGAGGGGGAGAACUUACACUGGUUUUGGGGACCGUCGCUAGUUUGUGACUGUAGGCUGUCACGGAGGCAAGCCAAGAGCAUUUGCAAACAAUGAAGUUCUGCAGAUUAAGACGGGAAAAAAAUAUAAGCCAUCGUGAAAUUUCAUACCUUGGUAUAGCAAGAUGAAGAUUUCAUAUUUCUUGAGUACUAGAGUCGUGUUUAAUGUUUCAUGUUGAUGUUGCUUAAUGCUUACUCUUGCCUUAGUUACUUACUAGAGAUUUAUCACACAGCUUCAGAAUAAAAGCAACCAAAAAC